rnacentral:rRNA from 1 species
CAAUAGCGUAUAUUAAAGUUGUUGCAGUUAAAAAGCUCGUAGUUGGAUUUCUGGCUGUACAUGUCUGGCCCGCGUCCGUAAGGGCUGUGAGUGCCGGUUGUGUUAGUCAUCCUUCCAGGUAGCGCGUGUGUGCUUUACUGUACGUGCGUUAGCGAACUGGAUCAUUUACUUUGAGUAAAUUAGAGUGUUUAAAGCAGGCUUAGGCUGUGAAUACAUUAGCAUGGAAUAAUAAUUUAGGACUUUGGUUUUAUUUUGUUGGUUUUGAGGACUGAAGUAAUGAUUGAUAGGGAUAGUUGGGGGUGCUCGUAUUCAGCGGCCAGAGGUGAAAUUCUUGGAUUCGCUGAAGACGAACUUAUGCGAAAGCAUUCACCAAGGAUGUCUUCUUUAAUCAAGAACGAAAGUUGGGGGAUCGAAGAUGAUUAGAUACCAU